AACGCGAAGAACCUUACCUGGGCUCGAAGCACAGUGGACCGGGGUAGAAAUAUCCCUUUUCGCAAGAACUGCUGUGGAGGUGCUGCAUGGCUGUCGUCAGCUCGUGUCGUGAGAUGUUGGGUUAAGUCCCGCAACGAGCGCAACCCUUGUUACCAGUUGCCAUCAUUCAGUUGGGCACUCUGGUGAGACCGCCUCGGAUAACGGGGAGGAAGGCGGGGAUGACGUCAAGUCCUCAUGGCCUUUAUGUCCAGGGCUACACACGUGCUACAAUGGCCGGUACAAACCGUCGCAAACCCGCGAGGGGGAGCUAAUCGGAAAAAGCCGGCCUCAGUUCGGAUUGCAGUCUGCAACUCGACUGCAUGAAGCUGGAAUCGCUAGUAAUCGCGGAUCAGAACGCCGCGGUGAAUACGUUCCCGGGCCUUGUACACACCGAGACGAC
rnacentral:rRNA from 1 species